rnacentral:rRNA from 1 species
CGGAUAGGCAAUUAUUCCUGGAAUGGUUUUUUGUUUAAAUGUUUUUUCGCCUAAGGAUGGGUCUGCGGCCGAUUAGGUAGUUGGUUAGGUAACGGCUUACCAAGCCAUUGAUCGGUACGGGUUGUGAGAGCAAGAGCCCGGAGAUGGAACCUGAGACAAGGUUCCAGGCCCUACGGGGUGCAGCAGGCGCGAAACCUCCGCAAUGUGAGAAAUCGCGACGGGGGGAUCCCAAGUGCCAUUCUUAACGGGAUGGCUUUUCAUUAGUGUAAAGAGCUUUUGGAAUAAGGGCUGGGCAAGACCGGUGCCAGCCGCCGCGGUAACACCGGCAGCUCUAGUGGUAGCAGUUUUUAUUGGGCCUAAAGCGUCCGUAGCCGGUUUAAUAAGUCUCUGGUGAAAUCCUGUAGCUUAACUGUGGGAAUUGCUGGAGAUACUAUUAGACUUGAGACCGGGAGAGGUUAGAGGUACUCCCAGGGUAGAGGUGAAAUUCUGUAAUCCUGGGAGGACCGCCUGUUGCGAAGGCGUCUAACUGGAACGGUUCUGACGGUGAGGGACGAAAGUUAGGGGCGCGAACCGGAUUAGAUACCCGGGUAGUCCUAACCGUAAACGAUGCGGACUUGGUGUUGGGGUGGCUUUGAGCUGCUCCAGUGCCGAAGGGAAGCUGUUAAGUCCGCCGCCUGGGAAGUACGGUCGCAAGACUGAAACUUAA